AACUUUCGACAAUUGAUCUCUUGGCUCUCGCAUCGAUGAAGAACGCAGCGAAAUGCGAUAAGUAAUGUGAAUUGCAGAAUUCAGUGAAUCAUCGAAUCUUUGAACGCACCUUGCGCCCCUUGGCAUUCCGAGGGGCACACCCGUUUGAGUGUCGUGAAAUUCUCAAAACCUCUUACUUUGCCGGAAAGGAUUUUGGACAUUAGGGCCUUUUGGUGGUUUCACCUCGAAGCGAGCCCCUCCCCACUGGAUUAGUGGGGUCUGCUUUGCCGGUCCUUGACGUGAUAAGAUGCUCCUACGUCUCGGGUUUUGGCACUGUGCCCCUGCUUCUACCCGUCUCAUUGACAACGAUGGUGUUCCGGUCACCGCCGAUUCGUCGGUGGGAGGCUUGCCCCACAAAACGACCUUGACCUCAAAUCGGGUGAGACUACCCGCUGAACUUAAGCAUAUCAAUAAGCGGAGGCU
rnacentral:misc_RNA from 1 species